rnacentral:rRNA from 1 species
AUAAAUCAUUAAAUUUAUGAGAUUUGGCGGUAUUUUAUUAGAUUAGAGGAACUUGUAUAGUAAUUGAUGAGCCACGAUAAGAAAAACUUAAAUAUUUAUGUAUUGCUGUUUUUAAAUAUAUUUAAAUAGUUUAAUUAAAAUUUAUUAGUAAAAUAAUUCAAGUCAAAAUAUAGUAUAAUUAAGUUAUGAGUUACAUUGUAAAAGUGAAAAUGGAUUUAAAAGUAA